rnacentral:lncRNA from 1 species
AUGGAAUAAUUCCCAAAUUGCAGAUAAGGCAGAAUGAAACCCUAAUUUUCCAAAAUCGGGAACCCUAACAAUCCCAAUCUCACGAAAGAUCCAAUCUUUAAACGAAACGAUACGAGAAAACGAAACCCUAAUUUCAAAAUCAACAACCCUAUAACAGUCAACAAAUCUCCGAUUCAAAUCACGAUCGAUUCCAUAAGAGCCCUAACAAUCUCAAUCGCAACAAAGAUCCAACCUUUAAUCGAAACCCCUAAAUUUCGUAACCCUAAUUUUUCAAAAUUCGAAAACCCUAAAUCAAUCAAUCAAGAAGCAAACAAACCAGGAUGAGCUCAAAGAGGGUAGCUUGAUCGAUCUUCAUAAACUCAGCAUCCCAAGCCUUGAGGUCAUCGUCGGAGGAGCCACCGCCAUCGACGGCCUCGCUCUUGGAAGCAGCAGCGUCGACGUGCUUCUUGCAGUACUCAAUCACCUUGGCGAGGAUCUUGCUCGUGACGUUGGGAAGAGGGACUCCGUUGUCGACGCAGUCGUCUUCAACCAUGUGGGCUAUGGUCUGAGACUCGAGAGCCACCGCCUCGUCGACCUCGAAAGACUCGCCAUCGGAGCUCUUCAACACGAUCUUCUUCGUCGACAUGUUUGUGAGAAAACGCGAGAGGAGAUUUGAGAGAAGGGAUGAAGUGGAGGAGAUCCCUAAUUUUUCUUUAUAAGUGGGUCGAUUGUUACAAAGUCAUCGCGAGAUUAGGAAUAAAAGGAAAUCUUUUAUUUGUUUCCAAUUCUAAAAUUAGGAAAUAUAGAAAAUAAUCCUAAUUAGUUAGUUGCUCAAAGAAAGAAAAUAAUCCUAAUUUCAUUAAUCUUAACUUUUUAAGUUAAUUUUGAUACGAUUAAUUCGUUAUUUGGACUUUGGAUAUUUUGAAAAAAAAAAAAAAAAAGGCAACAACAUAAAGCAAGAAACUGGUUGGUUUGCUUCAACGAUCUCUCCCACUCUCUCACGCAUCAUUCAAAAGCCCAUUGGUUCUCCCUGCGCACCUCCUCUUCUUCCUCUGGUGAAAAGUCGUUCUUGAUGUUGAAGGUCGUGCGAAUCUCCUCCGGAGUCUUGCCCUUGAUCAUGUCAGCCACUGUCUGGCAUGUCAGGUCGAGAAGGUUCUUGAUGUUCAGAUAAUUAGCAGCCUGCAACAUCCAAAACCAAAAAUUUCAGAUUCAAAUCAACUUUACAUAUCUCAAUCUUAGGAAAGAUCCAAUCUUUACCCGAAACUGAAAACACAAAUGGAAUAAUUCCCAAAUUGCAGAUAAGGCAGAAUGAAACCCUAAUUUUCCAAAAUCGGGAACCCUAACAAUCCCAAUCUCACGAAAGAUCCAAUCUUUAAACGAAACGAUACGAGAAAACGAAACCCUAAUUUCAAAAUCAACAACCCUAUAACAGUCAACAAAUCUCCGAUUCAAAUCACGAUCGAUUCCAUAAGAGCCCUAACAAUCUCAAUCGCAACAAAGAUCCAACCUUUAAUCGAAACCCCUAAAUUUCGUAACCCUAAUUUUUCAAAAUUCGAAAACCCUAAAUCAAUCAAUCAAGAAGCAAACAAACCAGGAUGAGCUCAAAGAGGGUAGCUUGAUCGAUCUUCAUAAACUCAGCAUCCCAAGCCUUGAGGUCAUCGUCGGAGGAGCCACCGCCAUCGACGGCCUCGCUCUUGGAAGCAGCAGCGUCGACGUGCUUCUUGCAGUACUCAAUCACCUUGGCGAGGAUCUUGCUCGUGACGUUGGGAAGCGGGACUCCGUUGUCGACGCAGUCGUCUUCGACCAUGUGGGCUAUGGUCUGAGACUCGAGAGCCACGGCCUCGUCGACCUCGAAAGACUCGCCAUCGGAGCUCUUCAACACGAUCUUCUUCGUCGACAUGUUUGUGAGGAAAGGCGAGAGGAGAUUUGAGAGAAGCGAGAUGAAGUGGAGGAGAUAAGGAGAUCCCUAAUUGUCUUUUUUAUAAGUGGGUGGAUUGUUAGAAAGUCAUCGCGAGAUUAUAUUUCCAAUUAUGAGAAAAAGAAAUAUAGAAAAUAAUCCUAAUUAGUUGCUCAAAAAAAGAAAAUAAUCCUAAUUUCAUUAAUCUUAACUUUUAAGUUAAUUUUGAUCCGAUUAAUUCGUUAUUUGGACUUUGAAUAUUUUGAAGAAUGAAGAGAGAAAUGCAUAUAUUGUUAUAGGGGUGGCGUUCGGGUAUCCGUUCGGGUUCGGGUCAGUUAUUUCGGAUUUUCCGGUAUUUCGGUAUAGCAGUGUAGAACUUGUUCGGGUAUUUCUAUAUUUCGGGUUGGGUUCAGGUAUUUUUAGUUCAGAUUCAGUUAUUUCGGAUCGGGUUCAGAUAUUUAGAGUUUGAAUAAAAAAAUUAAAAUUUUCAUUUUUCAAAUUUCUUGUAUUUAAAAGUAUAACUUUCACUUAACUAAUUAUUUAUUUUUAACAGACUGAAUGGUUAAUAAAUUUGGACACAACAUUUAAAAACUAAAAAAACAUUAAUUUAGUUAUUUUUUUUUAAUUUUGGAUGUAACUUUUUGUUAAUUUUUGAAAUAAAAACUUGACAAGCAUUUUAAGUGAGUAGCAAAUCAUAUUUUCCGUAAUUGUAUGUAUAUCAUAUGAACUUAAAGUAUGUGUAGUAUCAAUAUAAAUAUUUUAUAUAAAAUGAGAGAUGUAAACUAGAAAUAUAAGGUUAAUUAUACAUAUGUUCGGUUAUCUUCGGAUAUCUAUUCGGGUUCGGGUAUUAUCCGUUCGGGUUCGGGCAUCCAAUCUCUCCUAAUUCAAUACCCGUUCGGUAUUUUUCUACUUCGGUUCGGGUUUUUCGGAUUGGAUGGGUGCCACUUCGGAUAUCGGAUAAAGUGUCCACCCCUAUAUUGUUAUGUUGAAAACCAACUUCCGACAAGAACCCAAGUAGUCUCGAUUAUGACCCGUACAAAUCUCAAACACAACAUGGUAAACAGGUGAGUAAGCUGUAGUAGAUGCUCGGUAAUAAACCCGAUAAAUCAUCUCUUUUCAUGGAAAAGAAUCAUGGUAAGCUGAAGUAGAUGCUCAAUAGAGGAGGAUGAUGGUACCGGUAACAGAAUCAGUGAACCCACCAAACGAUUCAUCCUUAAAGAAUGGUAUAACAAUGCUCGCGUAGUAUUGACCCGAAGGAACCCCUUGGAAAUCAAAAUUACCAAACCCGUAAGUAGUCGACUCGUUGUGGUAGAUUCUUAAUUAUUUGUUACGAGUUCUAAGCUAAGAACCAGGACCUGCGCCCUUGCUAUUGAAUCUGCUCUCACUCCAUUUACAAGUUUACUUUAUUUUUUGAUCAACUACUUCAUUUAGAUAAUUAAAGAAGUUCAGCAGAUAGAGAUUCAGUCCACAUGUGAGCCCAAUACAGAUAGAUGAGUUAUGAGACUGGUCUUGGCCAAAGAGUCGGCUCUUCCAUUCUCAUCCCUUUUGGAAUGAAAUAAACUGAAAUGUCGAUAAGCAGAGAAGAAUUGAAAGACUCUUGAUGUCUUCCACGAUGCCAUCUCUCUACAUUUAACAAGGCCCGAGAUGAAAUCUGAUUCUACAGCUAUGUAGACUAUUGCUUGAAGAGGGAUCUAUUGCCACACCUGUUUUGUAAAGUCGCAACUGAAGAACAGGUGAGUACGUAGCUGUCUCUACUUCUCCACAAUGAGGGCAAUUAACAAGUUUACUUCAUUUCGUACAAUAAAUAUGGAAAAUCAUUUGAGCCCAAAGGAGUUACACAUACUAUCAAGAUGGUUAAGAUACAUAAAUAUCAUUAGCAGCUUCGGUUGAUAAGAAAUAAAUGGGAAAUAUGUAACACCAAUAUUUGUUUUCUAUACAUUCUUACGUUAACUUCAUUUUUAUAUGGAGGUACCAACUGAUGGUGCGUGUAAACUCAUAUCAAUAGUAUAGAAACAUGUGGGUUUGUUUGUGAACUCAUAUCAAUAGUAUAGAAACAUGUGGUGUUAUAACUAUACUACGUUUUUGUCUUUGUUUGUUAGAUGGAAACUAAAAAUAGUAUUGAGUACACGCAUAAUGAAUGUCAGCAUGUUUUACGAAGAUAACAUGAGUUCCAUAAUUCUGAUAAGAAAUACAAAAGGAAUAAUGCUUUUAAUAAUUACUAUUGAAUUUUAAGAAUAGGUAGUCACUUUACACCAGAGAAAAAUUGGAUAUAUGAUGAUUUAUCUCGCAACGAUUGGAGCGAAUGGAUCUACUAGAUUAGUAAUAUGUAUAGUAUAGUACGUUUAUAAGUUGAUAAUUUCAAAGAAGACAGAUGAAACAAUAAGAAAAUGUUACUUUAUUUAGAGGGAAUACAAUUUUCAAAUACACAAACAAAACAUGAUGAAAUAUAAUCAAUCAUUACGAAGUGACAAUAGUUUUUAAUUCAGAUAAACUGAUUAACAAAUUUGUCAACCAACAAUGAGACUAAAACUUUGUAAGUUUUUUCUGUGGGAUGAUAACUGUCCCAAAAUACAUGGCUAGACACGUCAGGACAUACUGAAGAUGUGAUUUUAUUGCAGAGGACAGCAACUUCUAUGGCUCCUGUUCCACAGCAUCCUUUGUUAGAUACUCCAAAUCCUACAAUAACCCAAAUCAUAACUUUAAUUUUAGGGUAUUUUUCAUACUAAAGUAAAUUUAAAAAUAAAUUUUAGGGUAUUACCGUAUUUUGUGGGAUUCUGGAUGAUAUCAUAAAGAGGGUCAUAGAUAUUAAUGUAGACCGGUUUACUAUCCGGUAGAGUUUUACGCAGGUAAUCCAAUUUUGUGGAGAUCUUUGAAUUAAAGAGCUUUGCUGCGUCAUUGUAAUACUCAGCACACUCUCUCAAAAGACCUCCUCCUAAGGUUCUCUGUGAUGGGAUACAACCAAGUGGUGGUGCACCAAACACAGCUAUUCUUCUUACUCCAUAUCCGUAUAGUUUCUGUUAUCAUAAUUAAUGAAUAGGUUGGUAAUACUAAAUUCAUAAACGUUAGAAAACUCAACACACACAUAGUUGCCUAUUCUCAGAGAUGAGAAGGAUAAAAGAUGUGACACAUCAACGAUCAGUCUAUACAUGGUACUCCAGUUAUUAAUGCCUUAAAGUGAUGUAUCACGGAAAAAUGUAAACUAUUUAGUCGGUAUUUUAUUUUUGAUAUAUGACUGUCCUUCAUCGAAAUCAAAAUGUGUGGACCUCUGAAAAGUAAAUCAAAAGUGUUAUGAAAGGUCGAUAACCUGGUAGACUUUUACUACUUUUAGCAUAUUUAUACGUUUUUUUGGCUCAGCCAGUAAACUGUAAAUGGUUAUUUUUUUAACUCUUUUAAUCAUACUUACCUAGAGAGAUAAAAGUAUACUACUAUUGUGGAAUAUGAUAUAUAUAAUAUAUAUAUAUAUAUAUAUAUAUAUACAGAUUUUUCUAAAUUAUGGGAGAAGCUUACAUUCACAAAAUCGGAGGCAGAGUUGGCCAUAAGAGUAGUGUACGAAUCGACGUCAUAGUGAGGUCUUGCAUGAAGAUCAUAGUAAGUAUUGGCGAUGUCGUCGCUUCCUGCGACCAAUAAGAACAAGCUGCUGGCUAAUAUGAAGUUUUUUCUUUCUUCCCCCACUAAAUUCUUCACUUUUUCUAUGUACUCCUCAAAAUAUUCCAACUGCUUUUGUAAUGAUAUUGCUGCCUAAUAUCAUCAACAAACACAAGUGAGACGACCAAGUUAAAUAGGUAAAUAUCAAAUCAAAUAUGUCCAUAUGUUAUAGGAGUACAGUUAGUUAAAAAGAACGUAUGAUCGCCAUAUUACUUAUAUAUUUAUUAUUACCACGAGUUUGGGUGUUAUAGGAUCAUAACCAGAACCUCCCGACGCAAAUGAUACACCGGUUAAAAGAUCUUUAGGCGUUAGAUUUGGAUCGAGAUAUGCGGGUACAACUGAUUUUAUCCCCACUUCCUCAGCUGCAAAUAAGAAGAGAAACAUUAAAGACAAAUAGCUUUCUUUUCACCGUUUUAAAAUCAGUAUUAUCGUGGAACACUAAUUUUCCUGACAUGUGUUAUACAUAUCGAGUCAAUGUUACUAGCCUUGUCUUUAACUACCAUCCAAAAAUGGAACACAAAACAAAUGAUUGCUCAAAUAAUUUGCCGUCGUCACUAACUUCACUUGUGUCCUAAAACCUAACGGUACUAGAGCUGAAAAGGGUAAAGUCAUAAAAAACCAAGAUAAUGGACCUAGCAAAUCGGCAGGAACUCGUCCGUCGCAGAAUCUCCCGGUGGGGACUCCGCCUUGGAAAUUGAUACCGUAAGGUUGAAAAUCGCACUUAACAACGGUUUUGACAUUGUUGUUAUUUCCAGUGUCAACGAUGGAGUCUCCGAAAGCUAUUAGCGCUGGAAUCUUCAAGUUUGGCGGCAGCUUGAUGGCGACGACUGUCUCAGUGAGAAAGAGAAUGGACAGCAAACAUAGUUUUAGCGAAGAACAAGAACUAGACCGGCUUGUAUUCUCUUUCAUGUUUCCUUUCUUGUAUUGUGAAAAUAAAACAAGAUUUUAUAAAAAGAUAAAUUUUCUUGGAAGCUUUACAAUAACCAGGGAAAACAGGGAACCACGUUUGCUCUCAUGGUUCCUAUCACGCUUAUUUAUAUACAAACACAUGUAGAUGUAUAUGUAUAUAUAUUGCAUUGUGUGGUGAAGAUGUCGUGGACUUGUGGUAGACUUCGGACAAGAUAUACUUAACCAGUUGACUGAAACAUUUCUAGAUAUAGAUAAUGUAUUACAACAAGUUUAAGCGUGGAUAACAGCUGAGACAGUGUACUAAUCUCAACUCUCAACCACAUCAGUUUUAAUUUAAUAACUAACGACAUAAAUCUAAAAGUGCGUAUGUCGAAACACGUAUUGCCAGCAGACUGUGACAAGAAGCAUCUAUAAUACUAUAUUAGUGCGUAUGUCUGUCAACUCUAAUUAUAUAUAGUCGGGGAUUAUGUAAUACUUUCUUUCAGUCUUUCAGCUGAUAUCCUCAUUUGAAAAUUCAAAAUUUACUACCAUAAAUCGUCUAUAGUGAUCAUUAUGGUGUGGAUAGCACAAUCUUCUUUUUUUUUUGGUGUAAUGGAUAGCACAAUCUUUUGUGUUUUCAUAUAACAUACCACCAGAGAAGACUAAGUUUAUAACAAAAGAUCGAACAUUUGGGUUGCUUCCUUUUUCGAUUCUAUUGUAUUGAUUUUUUGUGUGAAUUAGUUUUUUUUUUUGUGGGGGGGGAGGGCGGGUAAAAUUAACAGCAAUUUUUGACUGAUCUUAUGUCAGUAAAAAUAUACAAAUAUCAUUCAUAUAUUAUUCUGGAUAAAGAUUAUUCAUAUAAUAUAAUUUAAGUUUUAAAUGGAUUUGAUUGUUCUUCUCGAUCAGGGCCUGAUAAAUUUAGUUUAGGAAUAUUUCGAAGAUAUAUGUAAUGUGUGUAGUAAUGUUUAAUAAACUUUCUUUUAAUUUGGUUGACUCGAUUGGUUAAGUUUUAUUUAAUUUGCCGCAUCUAAUUACUUUUAAAUGCAAUACUAAAAAGUAUGGUCAAGGUAGGAUAAGCCACCCAUUCGAUAGCUUAUUAUAACGGACAUAAACUUCUUAUGAAUACUUAUUAGUUUAUGUUUUAUUAAUUUAAAACCAACAUAAUAAGUUAUUAUUUAUGUUUUUAAAUAUUUAAAUCAAACAUCAAAGUAUUUAUAUAUGUCAAAUAUUUUUUUAUCAAAAUAUAUAGUUACUAUUGUGUUAAUUUCUUUUAAGACACUCAUAUCUUAGAAAUAGUUUAGAAAAUAUCUUUAUAUAAUUUUUUUGCUUGACUAAUAUUUAAUUAUCAAUUUUUUUAUCUUAACUUUUGUAACUUUUAUAAUAAAAUAUUAUUUUCAGAUAGCAACACAAUAUAUAUAAGAAUAAUCUUAUUUUUUAUAAUUCUAUUAUAUUAUUUAAUCAAUUAUUUAAUGUAACAUAUAACAUAUAAACUUUAUACUAUUAAAAUAAAAUUCAUUUUAAUUAUAUAUAAAAUUCAGUAAAUAUAUUGUUUAAAAUUAGUUUUUAAUAUAACAUACAAAUUUAAUAUUAUUAACAUUCGUUUUUGAUUAUAUACAAGAUUCAUUAAGGAUAAUUUUAAAUUAAUAUAUUAAUGACUCAGCUAAUAACAAAUAAUAAAUCAAUGAUUUAGCUAAAAUCUAAUAAAAACAUGACAAGUAAACAAAAUUACCUAAAAUUAUGGAAAACAUGAUAAAUAAGCAAAAUCACUUCAUAAAUAAUAGUAUAGAUUUUUUGACAUGACAUAUAUAGUUUCACAUUUAGAUAUAUUUGUAAGCAAGUCAUAAAUUUUGAUAAUAAUAAUAUUUAUAAUUUGACAUGACAUAUAUAUAUAUAUAUAUAUAUAUAUAUAUGUUAUCAAACGUUUGCUUAUAGGACAUCUAAAAUUUUUAGUCAAAAAACAUAAAAUAUAUGUUAUCAAACAUUUUCUUAUAGGACAUCUAAAAUUUUUAGUCCGGUGGAUGGUUCCAACUUAAUUUAAAAUAAAUCAAAAACCUGUACCGUAAUAAAGAUCAAUGUAAAUAUUAGAAUUUCGCAAUCCAAAUAUAAUAUAUAAUCUCAUGCGACAAGUAGGCUACGUUGAAAUGCUAAGACUUAUUAACUAAAGAAUCUCAUAAUUAAAAUCUUUGAGCAUGUGCUCUAAUUAAAUUGUUACCAAACUAGAACUUUGUAGGUCAUCAUAAUCAAUGCAUCAAGACUUCUAGAGCCCAUCAAGCUAAACAAUAUAUAAGAUAUCGUUGGUAUCAUUUUUGGUCUCUUCUGUAACAUAUUCUACUUUUUAGAGUUCUUUAAAAAUCGACUCAAUUCACUCAACCACUUAACAUACGUAAAUAAGAAUAACUGAAAAAUGGAACAAAGGCGUAGGGUAGAUAUGUGGAUCACACCCAACAGGUGAUACUACCACAAAAUUUGGUGUGAAGAAGGUAGCUUUCUCCAUAUACACGUGAUAUAAAAGGUCCAAAGAGACAUUAGCAAGAAAAAGAUGUGAAAUAUAUUAAUGGAAAAAUGUUUAUCGAGAAAAACUUGCUGUCCAAAUGUACUAAUAGUUAUAGAUUAUAAAUAGCAAGCCAGACUAUCCGAAAAAUCAAGCUAAUUAAGAGUAAGAUACAUUGACAAGGCUACUUAAUUUAAUGAUUUACACAACCAGAAUAUCGCCCAACCACUAUCUAACAUAAUUGUGGCUAUCAUAAAUUAUAUGCGUAGAAAAAGAAAGCAAAAAAACUGUAUAUGCGUACAUUAGGGUUUUCCUUUUAAUUAAGAGUAAAGUCAUUUACAGUUUUUCUUAGUUGAAAACGAAUAUCAUUACAAGAUUCGAAGUUAAUUUUAGUUUAUGUAUUCUUAUUUUUAACAGAAACUUAUAGACUGCAAAUUGAAGUGAUAUACGAGGAGAAGUUAUUUUGAUAUUCAAAAAUUAUUUGAUUCCACCAUAAAAGCUUAUAAACCAACGCAAUUAGUUUAUUAUAUAGAUGGUCCUGUAGCUAGCUAUACGUUAUGGGGUCAUCUUAUACUAGUCUAUGGUAUCCAUAUAUUGUAGAAGAUAGGCCCCGUAAUGUAUCGCAGUUACAACAAUAUUAUGUAAUAACUCGACAGCGACAAACUUGAAGUGAUGUAGUAUAUAGCUUCCACGUACAGUAAAGACAAAAAAGUGAAGCCAUUAAUUGAAUUUUUAGAAUUCGGUUUGAUAAGCAUCCAUUAAUUGUUUGAUAUUAAAUUGAUCAUUUAUUAUUUGGUCCAUUAUGUUAAAAAUAUUAAAUCCUCAGAUAAUUAAUUAGUCCAAAAUUUGAUCCAAGCCAACGCUAGAAUAAAUAACUAGAUUUAGAUAUUAAAUCACUCGUAUAAUUUAUUAGUCCAAAAAUUGAUCCAAGUAAAUCUAGAAUAAUUAACUAGACUCAGAGGUAGAAGUGUUCAAUCCAAAUUACUGUUUAGUUUUGUUAGCUUUUUAGUUUUUAUUGACUAGAAUUCAGUUUUGGUUCGGACUAGAUUUUAGAAAAAGCCCUUAAUUUUCAAAUGUUUUAAUUUUGGAACUGUUUUUUUUGUUUGUUAAGCUUUGAUUUUCAAUUUUCAGUUAGAGAAAAUACAUUUAUUUAAAGCAUAUAUUAAAAUUACUCCCUUUAUUUGUUAAGUUUCCUUAUACCAUCUGAGGCCAAAAUGUGUAACAUGAUUUUCUCUUAAAUAUCAUCCAAUCAUGCAAUCUCUAGAUUCCUUCUUGUAAAUUCUAGUAGAGCUAGCCUGUCACCAAUUGCCUAUCUACGUUACAGCCAAUUGUUGUUAUAUAAUUAAAAAUGAAUAAAAUCAAAAUUCUGUCUUUUUGCUCAGACCGUUCAUUCCUUGUUAGAUAAUUAUACCUCCAACCAGUCGAGGCAAGUGAUGCAUGGCCUAUGAUAUUUUCGUGUUUUAAUGAGUUUGAGUGAUUCUCUGGAGUCCACUUUGCGUAUUUUUAUUUGUUUUGGAGCUAUCAGCUACGAGUACUUUUAUUUUAACGUUGUGGUGUGUGGUAUACUGGUAUGUAUAGGAUUCUUGUAAAACUUCACUAAGAACGCUGACAUUUUUCUUUUGAAAGCCUAUCUUAUUUGAAUUUUUGGAUACUUUUCUUAUUUGAACUUGACCAGAGUAUAUAAUUUCUAUCUUUGAUAUUCUUUUUAAAUGCAUCUCUUAUUUUCAUUUCUUUAUAUAUAUAUAUAUAUAUAUAUAUAUUAUAUUAUAUCUGAAAUAGACAGAUUUGAACAUAAUGAUUAGUAAUUUAUGUUUUCUAAGAGCAUUUCCAAAAGAAACACUAUACCCCUAAUUUCAAAUAUAGUUUUUUUUUGUUUUCCAAAAAAAAGUUUCAAAACUUCAAAUUCAUAUUUUUUUUUUGCAUUUUGGUAUUUACAUUGGACUCACUCUCUUCGAAUAUUCAAAUAUAUACUCCAAAUGUACACAUCAUAUUUAUAAUUCUUAAAUAUUUUUUUUGUUUACCGUUUUAAUCCUCAAAAAUAUAUAUCUCAUAAAUAUUUCACAUUUUUUUUAUAAAUUUAAGUUUUACACAUAAAAUUAAAUAAAAAUUUUAAAAUAAGAUUUAAAAUAUUUUAAAACAAUAUUUUAUCAACAACAAUAUUACAAAAGAAACCUAAUAAAAAGGUUUAAAACGUACACGAAGACAUAAUUGAUCAUAUAGCAGAAAAUAAGGAAACCCGAUUCAACAAUUUUUAGCUCAAAAUUGUAAGGUCACUUCUUACUUUGAAAUGCACUAGUUGAUCAUAUAUGCGAGCAUUAUAGAAAUAAUUUUAUAAAAUAAUGUGGUAUUUUUCUUGUAAUUUAAUAUUUAAGAUUGUAUUUCUAUUGAUAAUUUUAUUUAUAACUGUAAAAUUUAUUAACUAAUAUUGAUGUAAUAUUUUUAUAUAUGUGCUAUUUAUUUUGUAAAAGUUUUAUAAAUUUAAAUUAAUUAUGACAAAUAUAAGGACCAUAGUAUAAAAUACAAAUAAUUUUGAAGUUAAGUUUGAAGUUUUGGUUUUGGAGAAAAACACUUUUAAACUUUAAAUAUUGAUUUUUGCAAACUUUAAAAAUAGAGAGUUUUUUUGAAAUGUUUUAAAAUCAACAACCUAUUUCACUAAGAUGUAUAGUUUAGUGGCUCGUGGGUCAACCCACAUGAACUCCUCUUUUGAUAUGGCUUAUAAUCUAUAAUCUGGUCGGUCGCGGAUCGUACUACAAAAUCGACUAACCCAAAAAUAUAUCACACUGUCUGAUCCGAGUUUGAAAUACCUUCUGACUAAUGACAAGGGGUGGAUCGAUUACGAUUCACCAUGUUAUCACUUGUACAAAAAUUCAAAUUAAAACUGACCAAAGUAAUGAUAAAUUAGUUCUCAACUGAAUUUAACUCAGGAUCAAUGUGGAUAUACAAUAACUCCUAAAAAGUUAUCACUCAGCUACUAUUUCUCAGGUACCCAUACGAAAUUUAUUUGAUAAAAAAACAAUAAUGGUUUAAGUUUUCUGAACUAUAUUAUUAUUAUUGUUAUCCCUUAAUAAUAUAGUAAACCUUCUAAUAAUUUUAGACGUAAGCACGGUCAUGAAUCGCUAUGUGACGAUGUGUGUGAUCGAUCUUGAUCUUGAUCUUGAACCAUAAUAUUUUGUUGUAAUAUUUUGUCGAACAAGAUACGUUAAUAUUGUGUGAUCGAUCUUGAUCUCCGUUAUGGAAGAUGAUCGUGCUCUCCACUUGGGCCAGUAAUGGGCCAAAAUGCUUUUAACUCACCUUUUACCUUAUGGGUUAUGGGUUCAAGUUCUAAUGAUAUGUGUUCACUUAUAAAAACUCUAUUGGAUCUGCUGACCAUGAUACACUAGCCAUCUUGGUUUGUAACAUUUUAUUUCUUUUCUGCUAUUUAAAUUGAAAGCCUUUUUACAAAAAAAACAAAAUACGUUAAUAUUUGGGUUUGUGUUGAACUAAAUAUUUGGGCCUUCCGCUAAAUUGGUUUUCCACUUUCGCUUCAUUGUCAUGUUUAGCUUUCAGACGAAGAAAAUCUAUGGACUUUAGAGUUCUUUUGGGCCUGCGUUGAACAUAUUUUAAUUACCUUUGUUCAUUUCCAAUCUCCUUCCAUUUUUAAAUAGAGUGCAGAGUAAAAUCUACUCUAAUCUUAUUUUAUUUUUGUUGACAAAAAAACUAUUUUAUUUUCACUUUAUAAAUUAAGAUUACUACAAAAAUAAAGUAAUUAUUUUAUUUUAUAUAUAUAUUUUUUCAUUUUUACUCCAAAACAUAGUAGGUUGAAGUGAAACUCAACUACACUAUAGACUUCUUUUUUUUUUUAGAAAAUGGAAUAAUACAUUUGAUAUUAUUAUAAUCAUGUUGGUUAUGAAAUUUAGAAAGCCACAAAUAUCUUGAUAUAGUUUUAUUAGCUUUUAACAAUAUGAAUUAUAAAUUCUAUAUACAUUAGCUCUCUAAAAUUUAAAGAUGAAGACUAAUGUUUCAGUAGAAUAUGUCAAUAACCAAUCCUACUUAAUUUUUUUUAAACUAAGGUAGUAAGCACUUAAUAGCACCUGGCUUGUUUUUUUAACUUAGCCUUUGGCCAAAUUUUCUCAACCAUUUAUAGAAAGAUGGGGUCGAAAUCCCGUGCUUGUUGCUAGUUAAUCAGAACGUUUUGCUUCUAUGUAAAAUUUCUAACCUUUUGUUUCCUUUUUGUAUUGCUUUGUGCUCCUUUUUCUUUUGUGUAACUGAUCUUGGCAGCAAGUUUAAUUUCCGAUCAGGACUCUGUGACAAGUGUCAAUCUUCAUUGUUGGUACCACUAUUGCUCUAUAAAAUGGAAAAGAACAAAAUGUUCCGAAGUUGUGAACAAUUUCAAGCAUAUAUACAGGAACAUUCUUUAUAUAACCACAAAACAUCAUAAAAGACACUUACAAGCUAUUGAAAAGAGAAAAGAUGAUUUUAAAAAGUAUAGUUUAUAUAUCUUUUCAUUUGUAAUGAUAAUUCAAAAAUGAAGUAUGGCCGACAUGUUAAAAAGUAGGUGUUAUAUAUCGAUUAACUAGAAGAAUCUGUUGAGAUAUCUCUGAAGAAGCUUUGCAACUAUGUUUCUGUAAGCUGUUUCAGUGGGAUGAAAACUGUCCCAAAACACAUAAUCCGAUCUCACGGGACAUACAGCGGCUGUAUAGUUGUUGCAUAGAGCAGUCACUUCUAUUAACCCGGUUCCGCAACAUCCUAAAUUACUCACCUUAAAUCCUAUAAAAAAUUCAUGAAAAUAUGUUAAAAGAAUUGAUUGUUUCAUUGAAAAGAGAAGUAAUGACUAAUUACCAUAUUGUUGAGGGUUUAAAAUGAGAUCAAGAAGAGGAUCAUAGAUGUCAAUAUAUAUUAAAGUCGUGUCUUGUAGGGUUCUUGACAAGCCAUCAAUAUUAGCAGAGAGUUUAGCAUUGAAAAGUUUACACGCAUCAUUAAACCGAACAACACAAUCUCUUGUUGGUCCUCCAGCUACAGUUCUCUGCGAAGGGACACAUCCUAUUGGUGGUGCACCAAACAUAAGUAUUCUUCUUGCACCAUAUUGGUACAGUGUCUACCAACAUCACACGAUAAACCAAAUAAGAGAUUAAAUAUAAUUCUUCAAAUAAUUUUCUAAAGUAGCAAAAAUCUAUAAUUACAAUAGUACAGUAAUCAAUUAAGAGAAGAAAGGUCAACAUGAAUUUAUGAUAAUUGAUAACCUUGCAGUAAGUAAAACUCUAAAAGUCAUCCCUAUCAAGGAUUUUUCAAGUAUAGACUUUCACAAUAUACAUUAAUAUUUAUAGUAAGAAAAUUUCUCAAAAACUUAACAGAUUUGUGCCAAGUCUUUUAUUUGAAAAAAUUUAUAUGAUUUUUUGGGUUAAAUUCACCCAUUAUAAUAUUAAUGUAUGGUGAAAAGAUUUUCUUUAAAAAACUCUAGCUAAUGAUGCUCUAAAUACCGUUGGCUUUUUACCCUAGCAAAAGAGCGAGCAUUGUCGGCCAUAAGAGCAGUGAAAGAAGCCACGUUGUAUUGGAGCUGAGUCGUAGGGAGACUAAAGAAGUUGUUUGCGAUAUCGUUACUACCACAUAUAAUAACGAACAAGCUAUUCGUAAUUAUGAACGUUGUCCUCUCUUGUCCCACCAUUCCAUUCAAUUUCUCUAUAUACUCUUCAAAAAAUUUCAGUUGUUGCGAUAAUGGUAUUCCUCCCUUUAACGAUUAGAAAAAACUAAUAGUUAAUAUUUAAAAGUUCAUUAGAUAAACAUCAAACAUAAGAAGUGGUGCUUCUUGUAAAUUCUAGUAGAGCUAGCCUGUCACCAAUUGCCUAUCUACGUUACAGCCAAUUGUUGUUAUAUAAUUAAAAAUGAAUAAAAUCAAAAUUCUGUCUUUUUGCUCAGACCGUUCAUUCCUUGUUAGAUAAUUAUACCUCCAACCAGUCGAGGCAAGUGAUGCAUGGCCUAUGAUAUUUUCGUGUUUUAAUGAGUUUGAGUGAUUCUCUGGAGUCCACUUUGCGUAUUUUUAUUUGUUUUGGAGCUAUCAGCUACGAGUACUUUUAUUUUAACGUUGUGGUGUGUGGUAUACUGGUAUGUAUAGGAUUCUUGUAAAACUUCACUAAGAACGCUGACAUUUUUCUUUUGAAAGCCUAUCUUAUUUGAAUUUUUGGAUACUUUUCUUAUUUGAACUUGACCAGAGUAUAUAAUUUCUAUCUUUGAUAUUCUUUUUAAAUGCAUCUCUUAUUUUCAUUUCUUUAUAUAUAUAUAUAUAUAUAUAUAUAUUAUAUUAUAUCUGAAAUAGACAGAUUUGAACAUAAUGAUUAGUAAUUUAUGUUUUCUAAGAGCAUUUCCAAAAGAAACACUAUACCCCUAAUUUCAAAUAUAGUUUUUUUUUGUUUUCCAAAAAAAAGUUUCAAAACUUCAAAUUCAUAUUUUUUUUUUGCAUUUUGGUAUUUACAUUGGACUCACUCUCUUCGAAUAUUCAAAUAUAUACUCCAAAUGUACACAUCAUAUUUAUAAUUCUUAAAUAUUUUUUUUGUUUACCGUUUUAAUCCUCAAAAAUAUAUAUCUCAUAAAUAUUUCACAUUUUUUUUAUAAAUUUAAGUUUUACACAUAAAAUUAAAUAAAAAUUUUAAAAUAAGAUUUAAAAUAUUUUAAAACAAUAUUUUAUCAACAACAAUAUUACAAAAGAAACCUAAUAAAAAGGUUUAAAACGUACACGAAGACAUAAUUGAUCAUAUAGCAGAAAAUAAGGAAACCCGAUUCAACAAUUUUUAGCUCAAAAUUGUAAGGUCACUUCUUACUUUGAAAUGCACUAGUUGAUCAUAUAUGCGAGCAUUAUAGAAAUAAUUUUAUAAAAUAAUGUGGUAUUUUUCUUGUAAUUUAAUAUUUAAGAUUGUAUUUCUAUUGAUAAUUUUAUUUAUAACUGUAAAAUUUAUUAACUAAUAUUGAUGUAAUAUUUUUAUAUAUGUGCUAUUUAUUUUGUAAAAGUUUUAUAAAUUUAAAUUAAUUAUGACAAAUAUAAGGACCAUAGUAUAAAAUACAAAUAAUUUUGAAGUUAAGUUUGAAGUUUUGGUUUUGGAGAAAAACACUUUUAAACUUUAAAUAUUGAUUUUUGCAAACUUUAAAAAUAGAGAGUUUUUUUGAAAUGUUUUAAAAUCAACAACCUAUUUCACUAAGAUGUAUAGUUUAGUGGCUCGUGGGUCAACCCACAUGAACUCCUCUUUUGAUAUGGCUUAUAAUCUAUAAUCUGGUCGGUCGCGGAUCGUACUACAAAAUCGACUAACCCAAAAAUAUAUCACACUGUCUGAUCCGAGUUUGAAAUACCUUCUGACUAAUGACAAGGGGUGGAUCGAUUACGAUUCACCAUGUUAUCACUUGUACAAAAAUUCAAAUUAAAACUGACCAAAGUAAUGAUAAAUUAGUUCUCAACUGAAUUUAACUCAGGAUCAAUGUGGAUAUACAAUAACUCCUAAAAAGUUAUCACUCAGCUACUAUUUCUCAGGUACCCAUACGAAAUUUAUUUGAUAAAAAAACAAUAAUGGUUUAAGUUUUCUGAACUAUAUUAUUAUUAUUGUUAUCCCUUAAUAAUAUAGUAAACCUUCUAAUAAUUUUAGACGUAAGCACGGUCAUGAAUCGCUAUGUGACGAUGUGUGUGAUCGAUCUUGAUCUUGAUCUUGAACCAUAAUAUUUUGUUGUAAUAUUUUGUCGAACAAGAUACGUUAAUAUUGUGUGAUCGAUCUUGAUCUCCGUUAUGGAAGAUGAUCGUGCUCUCCACUUGGGCCAGUAAUGGGCCAAAAUGCUUUUAACUCACCUUUUACCUUAUGGGUUAUGGGUUCAAGUUCUAAUGAUAUGUGUUCACUUAUAAAAACUCUAUUGGAUCUGCUGACCAUGAUACACUAGCCAUCUUGGUUUGUAACAUUUUAUUUCUUUUCUGCUAUUUAAAUUGAAAGCCUUUUUACAAAAAAAACAAAAUACGUUAAUAUUUGGGUUUGUGUUGAACUAAAUAUUUGGGCCUUCCGCUAAAUUGGUUUUCCACUUUCGCUUCAUUGUCAUGUUUAGCUUUCAGACGAAGAAAAUCUAUGGACUUUAGAGUUCUUUUGGGCCUGCGUUGAACAUAUUUUAAUUACCUUUGUUCAUUUCCAAUCUCCUUCCAUUUUUAAAUAGAGUGCAGAGUAAAAUCUACUCUAAUCUUAUUUUAUUUUUGUUGACAAAAAAACUAUUUUAUUUUCACUUUAUAAAUUAAGAUUACUACAAAAAUAAAGUAAUUAUUUUAUUUUAUAUAUAUAUUUUUUCAUUUUUACUCCAAAACAUAGUAGGUUGAAGUGAAACUCAACUACACUAUAGACUUCUUUUUUUUUUUAGAAAAUGGAAUAAUACAUUUGAUAUUAUUAUAAUCAUGUUGGUUAUGAAAUUUAGAAAGCCACAAAUAUCUUGAUAUAGUUUUAUUAGCUUUUAACAAUAUGAAUUAUAAAUUCUAUAUACAUUAGCUCUCUAAAAUUUAAAGAUGAAGACUAAUGUUUCAGUAGAAUAUGUCAAUAACCAAUCCUACUUAAUUUUUUUUAAACUAAGGUAGUAAGCACUUAAUAGCACCUGGCUUGUUUUUUUAACUUAGCCUUUGGCCAAAUUUUCUCAACCAUUUAUAGAAAGAUGGGGUCGAAAUCCCGUGCUUGUUGCUAGUUAAUCAGAACGUUUUGCUUCUAUGUAAAAUUUCUAACCUUUUGUUUCCUUUUUGUAUUGCUUUGUGCUCCUUUUUCUUUUGUGUAACUGAUCUUGGCAGCAAGUUUAAUUUCCGAUCAGGACUCUGUGACAAGUGUCAAUCUUCAUUGUUGGUACCACUAUUGCUCUAUAAAAUGGAAAAGAACAAAAUGUUCCGAAGUUGUGAACAAUUUCAAGCAUAUAUACAGGAACAUUCUUUAUAUAACCACAAAACAUCAUAAAAGACACUUACAAGCUAUUGAAAAGAGAAAAGAUGAUUUUAAAAAGUAUAGUUUAUAUAUCUUUUCAUUUGUAAUGAUAAUUCAAAAAUGAAGUAUGGCCGACAUGUUAAAAAGUAGGUGUUAUAUAUCGAUUAACUAGAAGAAUCUGUUGAGAUAUCUCUGAAGAAGCUUUGCAACUAUGUUUCUGUAAGCUGUUUCAGUGGGAUGAAAACUGUCCCAAAACACAUAAUCCGAUCUCACGGGACAUACAGCGGCUGUAUAGUUGUUGCAUAGAGCAGUCACUUCUAUUAACCCGGUUCCGCAACAUCCUAAAUUACUCACCUUAAAUCCUAUAAAAAAUUCAUGAAAAUAUGUUAAAAGAAUUGAUUGUUUCAUUGAAAAGAGAAGUAAUGACGAAUUACCAUAUUGUUGAGGGUUUAAAAUGAGAUCAAGAAGAGGAUCAUAGAUGUCAAUAUAUAUUAAAGUCGUGUCUUGUAGGGUUCUUGACAAGCCAUCAAUAUUAGCAGAGAGUUUAGCAUUGAAAAGUUUACACGCAUCAUUAAACCGAACAACACAAUCUCUUGUUGGUCCUCCAGCUACAGUUCUCUGCGAAGGGACACAUCCUAUUGGUGGUGCACCAAACAUAAGUAUUCUUCUUGCACCAUAUUGGUACAGUGUCUACCAACAUCACACGAUAAACCAAAUAAGAGAUUAAAUAUAAUUCUUCAAAUAAUUUUCUAAAGUAGCAAAAAUCUAUAAUUACAAUAGUACAGUAAUCAAUUAAGAGAAGAAAGGUCAACAUGAAUUUAUGAUAAUUGAUAACCUUGCAGUAAGUAAAACUCUAAAAGUCAUCCCUAUCAAGGAUUUUUCAAGUAUAGACUUUCACAAUAUACAUUAAUAUUUAUAGUAAGAAAAUUUCUCAAAAACUUAACAGAUUUGUGCCAAGUCUUUUAUUUGAAAAAAUUUAUAUGAUUUUUUGGGUUAAAUUCACCCAUUAUAAUAUUAAUGUAUGGUGAAAAGAUUUUCUUUAAAAAACUCUAGCUAAUGAUGCUCUAAAUACCGUUGGCUUUUUACCCUAGCAAAAGAGCGAGCAUUGUCGGCCAUAAGAGCAGUGAAAGAAGCCACGUUGUAUUGGAGCUGAGUCGUAGGGAGACUAAAGAAGUUGUUUGCGAUAUCGUUACUACCACAUAUAAUAACGAACAAGCUAUUCGUAAUUAUGAACGUUGUCCUCUCUUGUCCCACCAUUCCAUUCAAUUUCUCUAUAUACUCUUCAAAAAAUUUCAGUUGUUGCGAUAAUGGUAUUCCUCCCUUUAACGAUUAGAAAAAACUAAUAGUUAAUAUUUAAAAGUUCAUUAGAUAAACAUCAAACAUAAGAAGUGGUGAUUAGCUAUACCGCGAUUUGUGUUGUCAAAGGAACAUAACCAGCACCACCCGACGCAAAUGUUACACCGGUUAAGAGAUCUUCUUGUCUUAGAUUAGGAUCUCGGUAUGCUGGUAUAGUUGGCUUAAUCCCUAGUUCUUCCGCUAUAAACACAAUAAAGAAUCGAAAUAUAAUAUAAUCAGAUAAUACAUUGCAACUUGGUGUUUUAACUUUAGUCCUUAUUGUACAUAUCAAUUUAUUUGAGUGUACGAAAUAAAGUUGGUCACGGUUGCAAGUCAUUAACCAGCUAGCUAAUGCAUUUGAUAUGUAGAUAAAUAAUGUGUGGUUAGUGUUAUGGAACACUUUAGAAGAUUAGUCAACGAAGAAAAAAUAAAACAAGAGGUAAACAAACCUAGAAUAUCAGUGGGGACUUUUCCAUUGGAGAAUCUUCCCGUCGGAACUCCACCGUCGAAAUCAAUACCAUAAGGAGGAUAAUCACAUCUAGCCUCCGUUAUCAAAUCGUCGUUGUUUCCUGCAUCAACAAUUGAAUCUCCGAACACUAUUAUAGCCGGAACUGUCGUGUUUUCCGGAAGUUUCACUAAAGCAUUAGUGGUUGUAGUAAACAACAACACAAGGAAUGAGAUACAAAAACAUAGUAUGGACGAAGAAGAGGGAAACAAAUAUGAAAUGAUGUGAUGAUGAAUAGAACGACGUCGGUCCAUAGUUUGCUAUGUAAGUAAGGUGUAUAUGUCUGAGAGAGUCUUGUUUUUUGACAGCUUUGGAUUAUGAGUAUAAAUAAUACUCCUCCCGCUUGUGUGAGGAGUUUGGUUUGGUUGAGUCAUAAAUUGAAGGCAAUGACUUAUUUUUUUCUGUCAUGAUAUUCUAAUACCUCAGUACGUGCUUUGGUUAGUGGGCCAGUGUUUUUAAUUAACAACGACACUUUUUCAAUCAAAAUGCCAUUUGACCUUUGUUUGAAACUUUCGAUAUGUUGACUCAAUAAUAAUUAUAUAGAAAGAACUUUUCCUAAACGGUAUAAAUUAUUCCUUAAGAGCUUUGAAGCAGAUUUAUUUAGACUGAAGCACACCUAAAGUCCAAACCGAGAAAAGUGAGUCGUGAGUUGAGUAGCGAUGUGAAGGAAUCAUGCCAAUUUAGCACGGACAAUGAGUUGAUUUUAGUCAUGAGAACAUCAAAGGGACGAUGCAUUUUACGGUGAACACGAAUGUUACACUUUCACCAAAUUUCAUUGAUAGAUGCAUAAAGUAUUAAUUGGCGGUCACAUCGACUGCAUGAGAGAUUAGUAAAGAGGGUAUCCCUGGAUCGCAGAAAGAGGGGACAAUGCCUGCUCCAACUAUCAGGGCAGUCCUGAUGACCGCAUGCCCUGCCCGCAAGACAAACAGACUAAAUCAAUAAUUAGGAUCAUUAUCAUUAAAAGGCAAAGACAAAUUACACAAGAGACUAGAAAAUUUUCUAGAGCAAUACCUACCUAUAGACAUAUAAAAAUAUAAUUAAUACAUUUUAUAUAUAUAUAUUUUUUUUUGUUCAACCCAUUUUAUAUAUAAUGAAUAGAUUUGUAGCAAAAAAAUAUUAUAUAUAUAGAAUUUCUUUUGAAAUUGUGUUUCUGUUUUAGAUUGAAAAACAAGUUGGCCUUUAAAAAAUUGUUUUUGUCUCUUGAGAUAUUUUAUGAUUAUGUAAACUGUAAACAAUAAUCAUGUAUUUGCCCAAGAUAAAGUAUAAACAAAAAUCAUGAAUAUUUGUCUAUGCUUUAAUGUUUUGUUCACAACUGUUGUGUUAUUUUGCAUGUAAAUAGUCCUCUUCCGUUUUAGUUUUGUUUGUUUGUAUACUGCGUUAAUCAAUAAUCACCAUGGUUCGUAAAAUCCAUAUUCGGAUCAAUAUUGUACUUUCUACACCUUUCCCAAAUUAGAAUAGUCAGUGAAAUUUUGAAAUUUCCCAAAACAGAAAGUUGAUACGUAUACGCAAUAAAAGCAGCAUAUCUAACAUCGCGUACUAACUGUUUAUUUCUAUUUCACAUGGAACUGAAAUUGAGAAAACUAGAGACUGUCACCUUUUUCAUCAUUUCACCAUUCAAAAAUACUGACACUUCUAGUUUGAGGACAAAUAGUUACUACUAGAUUUGUUUAUCAAAGACUCAGUUAAGUCUUAUAGAUGUACAAACUUAUAUGACAAAUAAAGACAUACGUAACCUUAUACACUCUAACUAACGUUGAAUAGUUUAUCAUUUUCUCACAUAUGUAAAUUGCAUUUCUUAAAUAUAACCUCAGGGCUCAUAGUCUGAUACUCAGAAGACUAUUUUUUUUUCAACUUAGUUGAAAGUAGAAACUGAAAGUCUGAAACAUUCGGAUCAUGUGGCCAUCUAAAUGGAUGCCUAAAUAUCUAUUUCUAAACAAUUGUCAACGUCUUCACAUGGUUGUUAUCUUUGAUAUAAUAUCAAUGUCUUCUUGAAAUAGGUGAUAACAUUGGUAUUAAAUGAGAAGACCCACAAGGCUACAAUCCGUUCACCGUUGAAGCAAUAAAUAGAAAUGAACAAAUUAUAUAUUUACAUCACGAAAUAAAUAUGAUAAACUCUGAGCCAAUAAACACGUAACAGGUUUUUCAAAUAAGGUAUCUCUCGCUUAUCAAAAUAGUAGUAUAGAGUAGAAAAGGCUUUUGUCUUUGUUCAAGGCUUGAGAGCUAUAUAUAUGAAGCCUAAAAUAUUUAUUCAAACUGCCCGUGAUAGCAAUCUUUACUGGCUAUGCACCUUUAUUUUUGUUUUCAACAACAGUUUGGUCGUCUAAACUCUGAAGAACGUGUGAUCCCAUUUUUUAAGGGAGCCAAUUGAUCUAGCCUCGGUGAGUGACAUUCCUAUAGUCAAAAGCAAUGAUUUAAAACAAAUUAGGUGUUAGUUAAUUAGAUGUAUAAUUAAUUUAUGAAAAAUUGCCAAAAUAGAAUGAAAACAGCUUAUUUAUUCUUUUAGUAUAAAACUUUUUUUCUCAUUUUUGCCUUAAUUAUCUUUUCGAUUUUUCAAACUUAAUGAAAUAAAGAAUUUUAUGAAUCAAAAUUAUAAAAAAUAGAAACAAUUGAUGAAAUAUCCAGACACACUACUGGUAUUUUUUGGAGUUCUAAAACUUGUUAAUUUAAUUUUUUAUUUAUGUUAUACGGAAAGAAGAUAACAUCUUCUACGAAUAAUGGCAUGGUAGAAAUUGAAUCCCAGUUUAAACAAAUUAUUCUACUUUCACUAGAAUCAAUAAUUUACUUUUAAAUAGAAUUCUAAAUAUGAUGAAUGUGAAAUCUAGGCAUUUUAAAGGUAGCUACAUUUAUUUCGAAUGCAACUUCUAGUUUUAUGAAAAUUCUAAAGUUCUACGAAUACGAAAUCCAGACACAACUCAAAAGUCUACAUAUAGUAGAAUAUGUUUACCGAUUAGUUAUAUGUUCUACAGAUAAGAACAACCAGAUUUUCAAAAAUUCAGUUACAAAAUAUUCUUAAAAAAAUUGGAAAUUUUUUACUUUCCUAAAAACGUGUAUCUGUUGUCUUCUUGUAAAAAUAAAAAUAAAAAACUUGUUCUUUAUCAGAGCACGAUUUCUCCAUAGUUUUCUUGUGAUUUUUACAAACUCUUCUUCUAUGAUGAAUAUCUUUAAUUUUGAGGGUUUGUUGGUUUAAUUUAAAAAUUUUAUUUUUUGUAUAAAAAACAUUUUUUUUAUUCCUAAUAUGUUUAUAAUAUUUAAACUACUUUUAAAUUAUAUUUAUUUGAUUAAUCAAAGGUUAAUAUUGGGACUAUGAGAAAAUUUAUACUAUAGGAACAAACUAAAGUUGGUUUUAUACUAUAUAAGGACAUAAGUGUGUGUGUUUCAUUCUUUUUUGGCAAAUUUCCCUUAAUUAUUAUAUUCAUGAGACAUUGUUUUUCAUCCAUAUGUAUUUGAUGAAAAAGCGAUGGGGUUUUUGCCAAAACUAACCCACAACUUGAUUUUAAUCCCAAACCUAUACUCAAACUUGAAUCAAAUGCAAAACUAACCUAAAAGCCUAGUGAAAUUACAGCUCAGCCCCUUGUGACCAAACAAAAAAACAGAAGCCAUUUUUACGAAUAUAGCCCCAGUAAAUCGUCUGAGUCGUCUGAGAUGUUGGAAGUCGUCU